UGACAUUUAUUUAUUUUUUUUUUAAACAAUUUUUUUAAUUUGAUUUACAUAGUUUAAUUAUUUUUAUGCAGUAAAUAUACCUAUAUCAAACUUAAUUUACCUAUUGAUUAUUUAUCAGUUAUCAUUGUUUUUAUUUAAAAUAAAACAGUAGUUGAAACUUGUCAGAAUAAUUCCAAGUGAAAUCCAACAUCAAGCUUCUUCAAUUACUGUUGUUUUUGUUUUUCAUAUUUAAUUGUGUAUUUUUUUGUAAUUAAUUUACAAUGACCAGAAGAUGUGCUAUAAAAGAAUGUGCUUGCAAAAAGUGUCUUCCAAUGUAUUCUUUUCCCAUCGGUGAUUACGUACGUUGUUUGAAAUGGUUAAGGGCUACUGGACAAAAACACCUUCUUGAUUUACCAUUUGUUCAAUUGGGAAGUCGUUGUAUUUGUAAAUGUCAUUUUGGAAAAUGGGCACCAGCUGUCAGAGGUAAAUUAUUUGCUGGUGCAUAUCCUACUCAUUUUUUGCCUAAAAAACAACUAUCAAAUCAGGAUCUUCGAGAAUAUUGUGAUGAGCAAAAAAAAUUGGCAGCUUUUGAAAAAUUGAUGGCAGAGAACAAUGACAAUGUAGCCAAUGAAACUUUGACAAAUGAAGCUACUACUCAGCUGUGUGAGAUUAACACUGAUGAAACAUCAGUCAUUCCACCACCAAAAUCAUCUGUUGUUGAUACAAAUCCUACUCUUUUAAUGCCUCAAGAAAUUUCCAAUCAGGAUCUUCAAACAUAUUAUGAAAAAUUGGCACACUUUGGAAAUUUCGACAAAGAAAAUAAUGAUGAAGACAAUGUAAAUGAGGAAAAUGUUACAAAUGAAGCUUCUUCUCAGCAGAUGGACAUUGCUGAGACAUCAGUCAUUACGACAAAUAAUAAAAUAAAUAUUCAAGAACAUUUCUAUGAUAGUACAGCAUUGAUCAACACUACUCCUGAACAAAGAAGUAUAAUCGCGAAAUAUCAACAAAGAAAACCUUCAAUCGCCACUGUUAGAGCAUCCAAGAAAAGUUUAUGGACUAAACUAAAACUUCCCAAUGAUAGAAUAUAUUAUCAUCCUAUCAUGCAACUUGUCUUGACAAAACUCAUUGAACAAGCAAAUACAAUUAAAAAACUUCAAAAUAAAAAUAAACUUGAAAAACAAAAAUUGAAACAACUCAUCAAUCCCAAAAAUAAUAAGAAGUCGCGAUCUGGACAUGAAAAAAAUUAACUUUACGAGGAUUUUUUUGCUUGAAACAUCACAAGCUCCUGACAAAGUACAAAGUGUUUAUUUUAUUAUUACGAAUUACUAUUAUUUUAACAAGCCUUUUUAAUUUUUUUUGUAUUAUGUUUGAUAAUUAUUAUUAUGAUGGUGGUGAUGCUUGUAAUAGUGCAUCUAUUCGAUUCAAUUAGAAAAAAGUAUUUUGUUCUGAAUGAAAUGCAAAAGAAUUUCGAAACGCUCAAAGAUCAUUUGGAGGGUUUUGAUAAGAAACUAGUGAUAAUAAUUAUUACUUUAGAAAUAAGACUAAUAAGUAACUGAAAAAUAAAAUGAUCGUGGUCAAUUUGUUUUGCUAAUAAUUAUUAAAUAAUAUAAUUAUUUUCUAUAAUAUUUUCUAUAGCUUUGUUUGUAUUUUUAAUAAAAAAAAAUUAUCA
rnacentral:misc_RNA from 1 species